UUAGUAAUUAUUCCACUGGCUACAGUGGCUGUGGAGCGACUGAGGGCUUAGCACUAGGAGGCGUGAUAUGAUGUGUGAAACAGUGUACAGUGAUGUUCUCCUCAUGCAGGUCAGUGUGGGUUUCCUCCGGGUUCUCCGGUUUCCUCCCACUUCCCAAAGACAUGCUGAUAGGUGGACCGAUGCCACUAAGUUGUCCCUGGGUGUGAAUAAAUGUGUGUGUGUUACAUGAUAUACACGAAAGUUGAAAAAAUGGUCCCUGGGUGUGAAUAAAUGUGUGUGUGAUGGCCUGGCGUCCCAUUUAGGGUGGAGAAUCCAGAGGAAAUCCAACAACCAUGUGGAGAACAUGUGAAACUCCACACAGACAGGAACCCGAGCUCACGAUCAACCCGGGAACCCUGGAGCUGAGAGGCAGUAAUGAGCUGAUAAAUCCACUGCAUCCAGGAAAACAUCCACCAACUCUACAUGGACAAGGAAGUGUGUAUAACGUAGGAGAAGACGUGACACUGUCUUCGGAUGGACUACAACUCAGUGUGUGUCUGCAGGAAGACUCUGUGUAAUGCACUCAUGAAUAUCUGCAUGUUUGGCCUCACCUGUGUACUGAGCUUGUGUGUAUUGUAUGUACUGUAUUGUAUGAUUGUAUGACCUGCUUUGGGAUUACAGAGACACACUGCUACUGCUGUACAUGCUGUGUUAGGAUCCCUCUGUGCCAGGACAUCCACACUGGCACUCUUCUCCCUGAUAAGAUCCUCUAGAGCUUUAUUUGUGGUUCAGAGACAUUUUGUGACUUGGAAAAUGCCCAGCUGAAUUUUAUAUUAGGUUUGGAACUUGGGCAUAAUUCACAGAAUUUCUGUAAAUAAUGACCUGUAAAUAAAGAUAUUUCUGUCUCUUCCCA